rnacentral:lncRNA from 1 species
AACUUCACGGUCUCAUUUUAUAUGGAAGAAAUAUAACUAUGCCCUUUCUCAGGUCACGGUUCCAUAAUAUUGUACCUGUCCAUUCAGUGGCCUGGGUGCUUGACAGUGAGUGAGACGUGUAACAGUGGCUUGCUGGCUUCAGGAUGCGUCAAGCAUGGACAGCAAAGUCCACACAUGGGAGAAUUAUUAUUAGGAUGAUAACAAUAUCCUCACCUGACCCUGUUGCCCCAGCAGAGCAAAAUGGUGUUUUGUUUUGUUUGUGGGUUUUUUUUUGUUUUUUGUUUUUUGUUUUUGUUUUGUUUUUUUUUUUUUUGUUUUGUUUUGUUUUGUUUUGCUUUAAAAGCAAAUCCAGACUAGAAAUCGGGGAAUGGAGGAAGCCAUGAACAAGAAGCACACUCCAAGGGCUCCCUUUCACACAAGCCAACCCGGUCUGCUAUAAUCAAAGAAACCUUCUUGUCACAUUGGUUAAUUUUGCUAAUGAAAGGAUUCAUUCUGUGUAGUAAAAGUUAAAAGUGGUAAAGAUGUGUGGCACGCUCUCAUCAAAGCUGUUCAGAUAACAGCCAUGGGCUACUGACAAAAGAGAACAACACCUUGCACCAACACGCAAACUUACUACACAUGCGAACCUAUUUUCUCAUCCCUGAACCUAGAAAUCUUGACGGUGAAAUGAGCAAGUGAGCUCUCAGAUAGGAGCUGGCUCAUAUUUCUGUUGCUUUUUCCCUGGCAAGCUAGUGUAGUGCUAGUCAUCUGAUGGGGAAUUAGUGACCAUUCAUUGAUGGUCUCUCCUGGAGGUCAUGAUGUAUGGGGGAAACAUGUAACAGGCAUGAAGUACUCUGAAGCCUGGCAGUGAAGUUCUAAGCAGGAUAUACAGCUCUUUUAGCUAUAUUACUCUGCACUCUGCCAGCAAUUGGCAAAUAAGGGGAUUAUAUUGACAUAAUGAGAAUUGUGUUGAUAUAAAACUAAUCUGAUAUCUGCCUGGUAUGGGAGUCUUCUUAGUAAAUGUAGUUUUGGGACAAUCAGACGAUAAGAAGGAAAAGCCUAGGGCUCAGAUGCUGUACAGGCAGGAGAUUAUUUACACUUCAAUUCCAGUGAAACUGAUGUACAGUCCCAGUACAUCUUUCCCACCCAAAAAGGCACACACACCUGAGACUCUCAGCAGGUGAUCGGGCCCCAUUUCCUCCUUGGCACCAUUAAAAAGACAACCCUUUUACCCUCAGGGUUGGGUUACUCUUCAUGUCAUUAGUACCUUCAAGACUGUCUCUUUCUCUUCUCUUUGGAGUAUUUUUAAUACCGCCCAUGGCAGCAGGAGACUGGGGCAUUGACUUCCAAGCUAUUUCCCAAGGCCAAUACAUUUUGUUCCUGUCAACUGGUACCUAAGUUGUACAUUUGUCUGCUUCUGAGUUCAUCUUUUUCCAAGUUCUCAUACUGACAGAACAUUCUGUGAAAUAAGGAUUAUGGAAUGGGUUAGGGUUAGGGUUUGGCAUUGUAGUGUGCUGUCGCAGGUAUACCAGAUAGCUCCUUGCUCUGCCUUAGUUCAGUACUCACAUCCAUGGCAGCAUGUGGCAUGAUGGAGUGAUAGUGUUGGUGACCCUUCUGAUUGCAGGUGUGCCAGGGGAGAGGACUGUACCGGGGACCAUUCCUGCAGACACAGCCUUUCCUGUUGAUACCCCCAGCCUUGCACGCAACAGCUCUGCUGCCUCACCUACACACACCUCCAAUGUCAGCACCACAGAUAUCUCUUCAGGUGUGACCAUUAUUUAGCAUGCCUUUAAGGAUAUGGAGGCUCCAAACUUGAAUGAGGCUCUUCUCUGACUCCAGAUACUAUUUUCAAAUUUCCCAUCUAUUUUUCAAUCUUGAUAAGAAAGAAAUUAGGCAAAAGAAAUUUAUGAAAAAACUUUUGGGGGAUUAAUGUGAUUUUACUAUUAUUAUUGUACAGUUUAUGACACCAAAAUUGAUAAUGUACAUUAACAGCUUGUAGCUCUAGGAUUAAUCCAACUGCUUGAACUUUUCUAGACAAUCUAAAACAAGUAACUCAGUUUCCCUUUUGUGAAAGUGUCCCCUCUAAUACUCAUUUCAUAAAGCUGAUAUGAAGACUCUACAUGGAAAGUUUUGACAUAACAGAUGUAAGAAAAUAAUUCGACCAGUGGCCAAAUU